rnacentral:rRNA from 1 species
UCGAACGGCAGCGGGGGCUUCGGCCUGCCGGCGAGUGGCGAACGGGUGAGUAAUGCAUCGGAACGUACCCAGUCGUGGGGGAUAACUACGCGAAAGCGUAGCUAAUACCGCAUACGCCCUGAGGGGGAAAGCGGGGGACCUUCGGGCCUCGCGCGAUUGGAGCGGCUGAUGUCGGAUUAGCUAGUUGGUGGGGUAAAGGCCUACCAAGGCGACGAUCCGUAGCUGGUCUGAGAGGAUGAUCAGCCACACUGGGACUGAGACACGGCCCAGACUCCUACGGGAGGCAGCAGUGGGGAAUUUUGGACAAUGGGCGCAAGCCUGAUCCAGCCAUGCCGCGUGAGUGAAGAAGGCCUUCGGGUUGUAAAGCUCUUUCAGACGGAAAGAAAUCGGGCGCGUGAAUAGCGUGCCUGGAUGACGGUACUGUCAGAAGAAGCACCGGCUAACUACGUGCCAGCAGCCGCGGUAAUA